UUAGCAUGCAUCAACUUUCUUUAGGCUGUGUCGUGCUGGAGGUGUAAUCGGAGGAGCUGGAGACGCAGCGCUGGUUGGAUUUUUGGUGCUAUCAUGGCUGCGGAAGGUAAGAAGCAUGCUUCGGGUCUUGGAUGGCCUCAGCCAACGGUUUGGCGUGUAUGGUUAUACCAGUGGGACUUUGAUGGCCUUAGCCAAUGGGUAGGUGGUUAUGGUGUUUCGACAAAUGGAACGAUGGGCAGUAAGCAUUAACAGUGGCAAUAGGGCUCUGACAGCCUUAGCCAAUGGGUUGACUUGAAUGUUCGUGCACUAAUGGUUGUGUUGUUAUGCCAUACGAAACCGGGGGCCACUGAACCUGCAUUAACGACGACAGUGGGGGCUCAUUGACAGCCUUAGCCAACGGGUUGGUGCGUAUGGUCGUGUUGUUUUGUUGUCUUGCGUUGUGUUGUCAUGCCAUACAAAACCGGGGGCCACUGAACCUGCAUUAACGACGACAGUGGGGGCUCAUUGACAGCCUUAGCCAACGGGUUGUUGCGUAUGGUCGUGUUGUUUUGUUGUCUUGCGUUGUGUUGUCAUGGCAUACAAAACCAGGGGCCACUGAACCUGCAUUAACGACGACAGUGGGGGCUCACUGACAGCCUUAGCCAACGGGUUGGUGUGUAUGGUCAUGUUGCAAUGAGAUUUUGGCAUCUAUGGUCAUUUAACAGUGUUAUGGCAGUGAGCUACAAAGCAGGUACAGCAGCAGGAAGGAUGAAGGAGUAAUGUGGCAGCUCGAGGGAGGACACUAGGAAGUAAAGGCGGCGGCAGCAGCAUACAGGAUGCAGUGAGGAUUAGUGUGGCAACUCCAGGGAGGACACAGACAGUGAGAGCAACAGCGGCAUUGCAGGAAGAAUUUUGAGACGAUAGCAGCCCUGUCCAACAAUGGAUAUGAGUGUGCAAUAUACCAUCUAAAGCUAAGUGUUUUAAGAACUUUCUUCAGUCACUGUACUACUGCACAUUGUAACUACUUUUGGAGGAAUGUUUUAUUCUAAUUCUGAUUCUGAUGUUUUUCAGGAACUGCCAGGUCAGAAUGUCUGAGAAGAUCAAGUGUGCUACAACACCCAUGAUGACAAGCAGGAUACAUUGGAAAGCUGGAUUUCUUUUAAUAAUGUGACCAAACCCAUUUGGCAUUGAGGACAAUACUGAAGACUAAAGAAGCAAAGGAAGGAGCAGUCUCAGAAGAAAGAGUGGCUGAAGGACGAAGGAGUAAUGUGGCAGCUCGAGGGAGGACACUAGGAAGUAAAGGCGACGGCAGCAGCAUACAGGAUGCAGUGAGGAUUAGUGUGGCAACUCCAGGGAGGACACAGACAGUGAGAGUAACAGCGGCAGAACCGCCAGGUCAGAAUGUCUGAGAAGAUCAAGUGUGCUACAACACCGAUAAUGACAAGCAGGAUACAUUGGAAAGCUGGAUUUCUUUUAAUAAUGUGACCAAACCCAUUUGGCAUGUAGGACAAUACUGAAGACUAAAGAAGCAAAUUAAGAACCACAUUGAAGCAGUAGAGGGUGUCCAGCCUGUAUGCAAUGUCAGAUCCAGCGGCUAGAUGUCGGGAGCUGCUUCACUACAACGCUCAUUGCAUUAAUUAAUUUCAUUUACUUAAUAUUUAGUUUUAUCAUAUUAAAUAAUUGGUUUCUAUGUAUAGAUAUAUAGAUAUUAAAAUAUAAAAUAUUAGUUUAACAUAAUAAUUGGUUUCAAUAUAUAGAUAUAUAGAUAUUAAAAUAUAAAAUAUUAGUUUAAUAUAAUAAUUAGUUUCA